rnacentral:rRNA from 1 species
CUAACAUAUGCAAGUCGAGCGGCAGCGAGGUUAGUAGCAAUACUAACUGUCGGCGAGCGGCGGACGGGUGAGGAACACGUAGGAACUUGCCCAAAAGAGGGGGACAACCAAGGGAAACUUUGGCUAAUACCGCAUAAACUCGGAAGAGGAAAGGUGCCCGCAAGGGUGUCGCUUUUGGAGAGGCCUGCGUCCGAUUAGCUCGUUGGUAGGGUAAAAGCCUACCAAGGCGAUGAUCGGUAACUGGUCCGAGAGGACGACCAGUCACACUGGGACUGAGACACGGCCCAGACUCCUACGGGAGGCAGCAGUGGGGAAUAUUGGACAAUGGGGGCAACCCUGAUCCAGCGACGCCGCGUGGGUGAAGAAGGCCUCCGGGUUGUAAAGCCCUUUAGGUUGGGAAGAAGUGUAUGGGAGGAAUAUACCUGUACAUUGACGGUACCGACAGAAUAAGCACCGGCAAACUCUGUGCCAGCAGCCGCGGUAA